CUUCCUAUGACCCAAAAAUAUACCUGCAACUCCAAAUUUAUAUAAUUAUUCCAGAGAAAUGAAAACUGCUAUGAAGGUAAAAUUGAUCAACGGUUUAGUCAAGAAUCCAGAUCUAAUUACACUUUGAAAAUUAAUUUUAAUGCUACAAAAAAAAAAAGGAUAAUCACUUUAGCAGAAACAUCAUUGGAUCAAAUGGAAUUUGUUUGAUUGCCCUGGCUUCAUAGAUGCCUGGAUUCAGAUGUCAAACCAAAAGAUUCUGGUUUAACCAGGCAGGUCAGCUGUAAUCCUAGAAACCUGAUUGUAAAUCAAAGACUGUCAUGGAAUGGAUCCUACAGCAAAUAUAAAUUCUUACCCAUUUUCGCCCAUAUAGCAGGUAUGAGCAAAGACUUGGUUUGUUGAAUUUGAAAAUUCUUGUGAAGCAGCUGGCAAAAGAAAAAAAGAGGGAACAAAAAAGAUUAAUUAAUGAAUGUUGUUGAAGAUGUAAGGAGCAUUUAGGGACUUUCUAGGAUUCAGUUGAAGAAUGUUUAUGUUGAGGUAAUUAACAUACAGCUUAAGUGGAACCAAACUAGGCAAUGGCCUUCUCUGAUUCUGAGAUCAAGGGAAGAAGUGACAAUUGUCACACUAUAAUAGUGAAACAGUACUAAAGUAAACCAACAUACCUCAAGUCCCAGUCCCGAGUCACAUCCCAGUAGAAUGAAUACAAUGAGUUCAAGACACUUGAUAGAAUCCAGAGAGGCAGAUAAAAAUUUGUCCAUUUAUCAGGGAUGACAUGAUAUUUAAGGGCUGAAAGAAAAAUCACUGGCACCGCAGUUGAAUAUUUUAAAGCUGAA
rnacentral:misc_RNA from 1 species